rnacentral:rRNA from 1 species
AGCGAACGCUGGCGGCAGGCCUAACACAUGCAAGUCGAACGGAUCCUUCGGGAUUAGUGGCGGACGGGUGAGUAACACGUGGGAACGUGCCCUUUGGUUCGGAACAACUCAGGGAAACUUGAGCUAAUACCGGAUGUGCCUUUCGGGGGAAAGAUUUAUCGCCAUUGGAGCGGCCCGCGUCUGAUUAGCUAGUUGGUGAGGUAACGGCCCACCAAGGCGACGAUCAGUAGCUGGUCUGAGAGGAUGAUCAGCCACACUGGGACUGAGACACGGCCCAGACUCCUACGGGAGGCAGCAGUGGGGAAUCUUGCGCAAUGGGCGAAAGCCUGACGCAGCCAUGCCGCGUGAAUGAUGAAGGUCUUAGGAUUGUAAAAUUCUUUCAGCGGGGACGAUAAUGACGGUACCCGCAGAAGAAGCUCCGGCUAACUUCGUG